AGAACGAACGCUGGCGGCAGGCUUAACACAUGCAAGUCGAACGCCCGUAGCAAUACGGGAGUGGCAGACGGGUGAGUAACACGUGGGAACAUACCCUUUGGUACGGAACAACUCGGGGAAACUCGAGCUAAUACCGUAUACGGCCGAGAGGCGAAAGAUUGAUCGCCGAAGGAUUGGCCCGCGUCCGAUUAGCUAGUUGGUGAGGUAAUGGCUCACCAAGGCGACGAUCGGUAGCU
rnacentral:rRNA from 1 species